CCUACGGGAGGCAGCAGUGGGGAAUAUUGGGCAAUGGGCGCAAGCCUGACCCAGCAACGCCGCGUGAAGGAAGAAGGCUUUCGGGUUGUAAACUUCUUUUCUCAGGGACGAAGCAAGUGACGGUACCUGAGGAAUAAGCCACGGCUAACUACGUGCCAGCAGCCGCGGUAAGACGUAGGUGGCAAGCGUUAUCCGGAUGUACGGGGUGUAAAGGGCGUGUAGGCGGGACUGCAAGUCAGAUGUGAAAACCACGGGCUCAACCUGUGGCCUGCAUUUGAUACUGUAGUUCUUGAGUACUGGAGAGGCAGACGGAAUUCCUGGUGUAGCGGUGAAAUGCGUAGAUAUUAGGAGGAACACCAGUGGCGAAGGCGGUCUGCUGGACAGCAACUGACGCUGAGGCGCGAAAGCGUGGGGAGCAAACAGGAUUAGAUACCCUUGUAGUC
rnacentral:rRNA from 1 species